AACGAACGCUGGCGGCAUGCCUAACACAUGCAAGUCGAACGAGCUCUUCGGAGCUAGUGGCGCACGGGUGCGUAACGCGUGGGAAUCUACCCUUGGGUUCGGAAUAACACAGAGAAAUUUGUGCUAAUACCGGAUGAUGACUUCGGUCCAAAGAUUUAUCGCCCAGGGAUGAGCCCGCGUAGGAUUAGCUUGUUGGUGGGGUAAUGGCCCACCAAGGCGACGAUCCUUAGCUGGUCUGAGAGGAUGAUCAGCCACACUGGGACUGAGACACGGCCCAGACUCCUACGGGAGGCAGCAGUGGGGAAUAUUGGACAAUGGGCGAAAGCCUGAUCCAGCAAUGCCGCGUGAGUGAUGAAGGCCCUAGGGUUGUAAAGCUCUUUUACCAGGGAUGAUAAUGACAGUACCUGGAGAAUAAGCUCCGGCUAACUCCGUG
rnacentral:rRNA from 1 species